GAUGAACGCUGGCGGCGUGCUUAACACAUGCAAGUCGAACGGGAAUUACUUUAUUGAAACUUCGGUCGAUGUAAUUUAAUUCUAGUGGCGGACGGGUGAGUAACGCGUGGGUAACCUGCCUUAUACAGGGGGAUAACAGUCAGAAAUGGCUGCUAAUACCGCAUAAGCGCACAGAGCUGCAUGGCUCGGUGUGAAAAACUCCGGUGGUAUAAGAUGGACCCGCGUUGGAUUAGCUUGUUGGUGGGGUAACGGCCCACCAAGGCGACGAUCCAUAGCCGGCCUGAGAGGGUGAACGGCCACAUUGGGACUGAGACACGGCCCAGACUCCUACGGGAGGCAGCAGUGGGGAAUAUUGCACAAUGGGGGAAACCCUGAUGCAGCGACGCCGCGUGAAGGAAGAAGUAUCUCGGUAUGUAAACUUCUAUCAGCAGGGAAGAUAGUGACGGUACCUGACUAAGAAGCCCCGGCUAAC
rnacentral:rRNA from 1 species